CAUUACGAAAAAUAUCCAUCCAUUUCAAUACGCCCCCAAAACCAGCUCCUCUACCCACAAUAACUCUUUUUCGAAAAAUGUGAGGUUUUUUUUUUGUUUGUUCGUUUGUUUGUUGUAAUCUCUGUUUCCAUUAAAGAUAACUAAUAAUCAAAUAUUCUCGGUGUCUCCAUGUGGGAAAGGGAGAAGGGGACGCCUCAUUCUUUUUUAUUAGCUGCGUUUCCAUAACACUUUUUUGUUACCUUUAUGGAGAAAUAAACUCCACCCGGGCCGGACAUCCCCAUGAAAAAAACAAACACCCACCUCACCUCAUUCACCACUGAAAAGAGCUUUCACACCUGCAUAUCUGAUUCCACUCCAGCUCCAGAAUACAAACCAAAGACACAACCGGUUUUCAACCUAUCAUUUAUCAAUCGUCAUCUGCCAAAAUAAACGGAAAGAAAAGCAAAAUGAUUGAAUGACUGAGUUGAUUCCAUGUCCUUUGGAAGACAAAGCCUAUCGAGUCAGGCAGGAGCUGGAGGAGACCAAAAGACUCAACAAUUUGCGCAAAACUUUAUGGAAAUUCUAGGAAUAAUAAAAAAAAA